rnacentral:rRNA from 1 species
CAGUCGAGCGGAACGAGUUAUCUGAACCUUCGGGGAACGAUAACGGCGUCGAGCGGCGGACGGGUGAGUAAUGCCUAGGAAAUUGCCCUGAUGUGGGGGAUAACCAUUGGAAACGAUGGCUAAUACCGCAUAAUACCUUCGGGUCAAAGAGGGGGACCUUCGGGCCUCUCGCGUCAGGAUAUGCCUAGGUGGGAUUAGCUAGUUGGUGAGGUAAUGGCUCACCAAGGCGACGAUCCCUAGCUGGUCUGAGAGGAUGAUCAGCCACACUGGAACUGAGACACGGUCCAGACUCCUACGGGAGGCAGCAGUGGGGAAUAUUGCACAAUGGGCGCAAGCCUGAUGCAGCCAUGCCGCGUGUGUGAAGAAGGCCUUCGGGUUGUAAAGCACUUUCAGUCGUGAGGAAGGUAGUGUAGUUAAUAGCUGCAUUAUUUGACGUUAGCGACAGAAGAAGCACCGGCUAACUCCGUGCCAGCAGCC